GUGAUCUGCCCACCUCGACCGCCCAAAGCGUUGGGAUUACAGGCAUGAACUACUGCACCCGGCCGGAAAUUAACACUCUUAAAUACAAAUGAGCUAACAAAGAAUCACAAGAGAAAUUAGAUAAUACCUUAAGAUAAAUAAAUGAAGAAGAAAAUAUACCUACCAAAACUUAUGAGAUGCAACAAAAACAGCAUUAAGAGGGAAAUUUAUAGUUGUAAAUCUAUACAUGAAAGAAAAAUACUGCAAACAGUGGAUUAGUGUCCCCUACGAUUGCAGACUUGUAUUAUUACUUCUUCUUCUACUAAUUUUUUUUUUUUUUUUUUGAGAUGGAGUCUCACUCUGUCACCAGGCUGGAGUGCAGUGGCGUGAUCUCAGCUCACUGCAACCUCUGCCUCCUGGGUUCAAGUGAUUCUCCUGUCUCAACUUCCCGAGUAUCUGGGACCACAGACACACAUCACCACACCCAGCUAAUUUUUGUAUUUUUUAGUAGACACGGGGUUUCACCAUGUUGGCCAGGAUGGUCUUGAUCUGUUGACCUCGUGAUCCACCCAUCUCGGCCUCCCAAAGUGCUGGGAUUUCAGGCGUGAGCCACUGUGCCCCACCGGACUUGUAUAUUACUUCUAUAGUUAUAAGCUAUAAACCACAGUUUAUAGUUCUGUAAGCUUUACAUAACUGAAAUUCAUGCUUUUAGAUAUUUACAAAUUUAUGAGCUGCCUAUGGAAUUGAUCUUUUUAUUACUUUGAAAUGCGUAUCUUUAUAUCUUGUAAUUCUACUUUAGAUCUACUUUGUCCAAUAUUAAUAUAGCCAUAUAAUUUUUCCCUUGGUUAAUAUUUGCAUGAUCUAUUUUCAUCCUUUCAGUUUUAGACUAUGUAUGUCUACAUACUUAAAAUGUUU
rnacentral:lncRNA from 10 species